CAGGGGCAUCCUGCCUGGGGAUGGGCCUGGGACAGAGGGAUAUGGAGGAAGCCAGGUAAGGUGGUAUGUGGCUCAGUAACCAAGCUUCAGACUGUAGAGGACUUAGAAAGCCAUAGACAGAAACAGGGCAUCUGGGGAACCUUCCUGGAGACUGGGCAGGCUGCCUGGGCCUCAGUGGAGGACCUUCUCCAUGAAAUCGGUGCUGAAGCCAUUUCCAUCCAGGCGGCUCUCCAAGACGAAAUUUUUCUACUG
rnacentral:lncRNA from 1 species